rnacentral:lncRNA from 1 species
UUGUUGCUGUUAGGCCCUGGUUUGUCCCUUGCGGUUUGUCUGGGUCCCGUUUGAGCUUUCGCUUGUUACUCAGACUGUGCACGCCACCUGCUUGAUGAAUGGCCUAUGUUAGAUGCUCGAUCGUGUUCUUUGUUGAUGGCUGAGACUUGCUGAUUUUCACGUUUGUACUAAGCGUAAAUGAGUCAUCCCCAUUGAAGUCGAGUUUUGCUGGUUCAUUGCAUGCGGAUUUUGGUCUGAGCUUGAGUUUCGGAUAUGUCGACCUUCUCCUCAUUCCAUGCCCACCACCUGCUCGACGGAAUGCUUGAACCAAGCUUGUGUAAACCU